GACGUAGGAUGCAAGCGUUGUCCGGAAUUAUUGGGCGUAAAGAGUUCGUAGGCGGUUUGUUAAGUCUGGUGUUAAAGACGGGAGCUCAACUCCCGCAUGGCAUCGGAUACUGGCAGGCUAGAGUGUGGUAGAGGUCUCGGGAAUUCCAGGUGUAGCGGUGAAAUGCGUAGAUAUCUGGAGGAACACCGGUGGCGAAAGCGCGAGACUGGGCCAUAACUGACGCUGAGGAAACGAAAAGCCAGGGGGAGCAAAAAGGG
rnacentral:rRNA from 1 species